CUUCGUUUUUGUUAAGCAAAACACACCAUGUUAAUACCGGUUUCCGUCAAACGACGAAGAUUAUUUUGGAUUUUGGAUAAAUUACCUUUCCAAGUCGUUCAUUUAUUGAUUAUUCGAAGGGAUACUAAUAAGUUAAAGGCAAUAAUGUGGUUGCAAAGAGUUUAGCCCGACCUCAAAUUUGAGAGGCACUGGUCAUCAAGCAAGUAAUUUCAGAGAAGCGUGCGGAGGCGUAAUUCAACUUCGUCAUGACUCAAAAAUCGAUCCAGCCAAGCUACAAAGUUCUCGGAAAUUAUACACACCUUGGAACAUAUGCAUGCUAAUAGAACCAUUCGAAAGACGACUUAUUUUUUAUUAACCAAAAAGUGAGACUCGACGGUCUUUACUACGAAUAAACGAGGAAAUUUGAAGGACCCAUCUAGACUGCACUUCAUCCUCUGACAAUUCCAAUAACGGUGGUAUAAAAUUACAAGGACGUGUUAAUGACGUAAUGUCUACUCGAGAUGAAGGGUGAUGUGGCUAAUGUCAAAAUAAACAUAUCUAUAUAUGAACAAUAGCCACAUUAAAUGUCCCUCCUGAUAGUAUAGUAUAUACACAGAUGCAGACCAUAACCUAUAUGCAGAGUAUAAGUUUGUCAUAUAACCCAUCGCGGAACAAAACACCGUAUGAAGCUGGAUAGGUGCCUUGAAUGUGACGCUUCAAUCAGUUUAUCGACUCUAUAAACUUUACACAACGUAUGGACCUAAUCAUGACUGAUAAGAAACCACGUGAGACAACACAUAACUGAUGUACUGAUAUCCUCAUCCCAUAACAAAAGCAAGGCAUCCUUUUGCUCAAUAUCAAAGGUUUCGCAUAGAAAACUAUAUUGUCAAAGUUUAAUCAAUCAUUGAUAAAUACCAUUAAUUACAAUUAGGACUCCUCAAAGUCGUCGCCCCGAUUUGGAAUCCGACCAGGAGAAGCGUACACAAGCCGUAUGCAAUUAGUAAAACCACCACCCUGACGCCAACCGCUGACGAUAACUACGGCAUCCCCCACAUUUAUCAAUUGCUCUCUACGAAGGGAUUGCUAUGGACGUUUACCUUGGUACUGCACUGGAUGAACGCCAAAAUAAAUCUGUAACCAACGAGCAACUAUUCCGUAGCGAGUAAUGGCGAUUAUGGGACAUCGUGGUCUGUAAAUU